rnacentral:rRNA from 1 species
CCCUUAGAUGUUCUGGGCCGCACGCGCGCUACACUGACACGUUCAUCAAGUCUAUAACCUUGACCGAGAGGUCUGGGUAAUCUUUUAAAAACGUGUCGUGCUGGGGAUAGAUUAUUGCAAUUAUUAAUCUUCAACGAGGAAUUCCUAGUAAACGCAAGUCAUCAACUUGCAUUGAUUACGUCCCUGCCCUUUGUACACAUCGCCCGUCGCUACUACCGAUUGAAUGAUUUAGUGAGUACCAGGGACCGAGCGCUUUGGUUGGGUUUCCUUCCCUAGCGCUUGGGAACUGUCGCAAACUUGACCAUUUAGAGGAAGUAAAAGUCGUAACA